rnacentral:rRNA from 1 species
UGGCGAACGGGUGAGUAACACGUGGGCAACCUGCCCAAAANAGGGGGAUAACACUUGGAAACAGGUGCUAAUACCGCAUAACCAUAGUUACCGCAUGGUAACUAUGUAAAAGGUGGCUAUACUACCGCUUUUGGAUGGGCCCGCGGCGCAUUAGCUAGUUGGUAGGGUAAAGGCUUACCAAGGCAAUGAUGCGUAGCCGAAUUGAGAGGUUGAUCGGCCACAUUGGGACUGAGACACGGCCCAAACUCCUACGGGAGGCAGCAG